AUGACAUCAUCCCACGGACACCACGCCUUCCACCUAGUUGAUAUAAGACCAUGGCCUCUCACAGGGUCUAUUAGAGCAAUAAUAUUAACAACAGGACUAGUUAAAUGAUUUCAUCAAUUUAACCCAGACCUUUUAGCCUUAGGAGUUCUAGCAACUACUCUUACAAUAAUCCAAUGAUGACGAGAUAUUACCCGAGAAGGAACUUAUCAAGGUCUUCACACAAAAGCAGUUACUAUUGGACUCCGAUGAGGUAUAAUUUUAUUUAUUACGUCAGAAGUUUUAUUUUUCUUUUCAUUCUUCUGAGCCUUCUUUCAUAGAAGUCUUUCCCCUAAUGUAGAAGUAGGAAGAUGCUGGCCCCCUGCCGGAAUUCAAACUUUUAACCCAUUCCAAAUCCCUCUUCUUAAUACUGCAAUUCUUCUGGCCUCAGGUGCUACAGUUACUUGGGCUCAUCACGCAAUUAUAGAAUCUAACCAUUCUCAAGCUCUCCAAGGCCUGGCUGUUACCGUAUUUUUAGGAUUAUAUUUUACAGCCCUCCAGGCACUAGAAUACUACGAAGCUCCCUUUACAAUUGCCGAUUCAGUGUAUGGUUCUACUUUCUUUGUUGCCACCGGAUUCCACGGAUUGCACGUUAUUAUUGGGAGAACGUUUCUUAUGGUUUGUCUCUACCGCCUAUAUAAAUGUCACUUUUCAGCUGCCCAUCACUUUGGAUUUGAAGCUGCUGCCUGAUAUUGACACUUCGUUGACGUAGUUUGAUUAUUCCUCUAUAUCUCUAUCUAUUGAUGAGGAGGCU
rnacentral:misc_RNA from 1 species